rnacentral:misc_RNA from 1 species
GGAUAAGAUCCUCUCCCUCUUCUGCCAUGAACUUCGGAUCCCACAGCUCCACAGCCUCCGGCGGAGUCAGACUUCUGGCCUUCUCUACGGGCUCUCGCAGCUCUUCCUCUAUGCAUCCGAGGCGCUCAUCCUCUGGUAUGGUGCCCACCUUGUCCACAACGGUGCGUCCACCUUCUCCAAGGUCAUCAAGGUGUUUGUCGUCCUCGUUAUCACCGCGAACUCAGUCGCCGAGACGGUCAGCCUUGCCCCCGAGAUCAUCCGUGGAGGCGAGUCGAUCCGUUCGGUUUUCUCGAUUCUCAACCGGGGGACCAUCAUCGACCCUGACGAUCCGGAAUCAGAGAUGGUCGAGUCUAUCCGUGGGGAGAUUGAGUUCCGGCAUGUCGAUUUCGCCUACCCCGCCCGGCCUGACAUCCCCAUCUUCAAGGAUCUGAAUCUGAGGAUCCGUGCCGGCCACAGCCAGGCGCUUGUUGGAGCUAGUGGGUCAGGGAAGAGUUCGAUAAUUGCACUGAUUGAGAGGUUCUACGAUCCGACUGCCGGCAAGGUGAUGAUCGAUGGUAAGGACAUUCGUCGGCUGAACUUGAAGUCACUUCGGUUUAGGAUUGGUUUAGUUCAGCAAGAGCCUGUACUUUUCGCCUCUAGCAUCUUUGAGAACAUUGCUUAUGGAAAAGAUGGGGCAACUGAGGAGGAGGUGGUUGAGGCAGCGAAGGCUGCAAAUGUGCACGGUUUUGUCAGCGGUCUACCGGAGGGGUACAAGACGGCGGUAGGGGAGAGGGGAGUGCAGCUUUCAGGCGGGCAGAAGCAGCGGAUUGCGAUUGCGAGAGCAGUGCUGAAGGACCCGACUGUGCUGCUACUGGACGAGGCGACCAGUGCGCUGGACGCUGAAUCGGAGAACAUACUUCAGGAGGCAUUGGAUCGACUGAUGAAGGGGCGGACGACGGUGCUGGUGGCUCAUCGUCUAUCGACUAUUCGGCGGGUGGAUUCAAUCGGGGUGGUGCAGGAUGGGCGCAUUGUGGAGCAAGGGAGCCACUCUGAGCUGAUAUCCCGGCUGGAGGGGGCGUACUCGAAGCUGUUG